rnacentral:rRNA from 1 species
UGGGGAAUAUUGCACAAUGGGCGCAAGCCUGAUGCAGCCAUGCCGCGUGUGUGAAGAAGGCCUUCGGGUUGUAAAGCACUUUCAGCGGGGAGGAAGGCGAUAAGGUUAAUAACCUUGUCGAUUGACGUUACCCGCAGAAGAAGCACCGGCUAACUACGUGCCAGCAGCCGCGGUAAUACGUAGGUCCCGAGCGUUGUCCGGAUUUAUUGGGCGUAAAGCGAGCGCAGGCGGUUAGAUAAGUCUGAAGUUAAAGGCUGUGGCUUAACCAUAGUACGCUUUGGAAACUGUUUAACUUGAGUGCAAGAGGGGAGAGUGGAAUUCCAUGUGUAGCGGUGAAAUGCGUAGAUAUAUGGAGGAACACCGGUGGCGAAAGCGGCUCUCUGGCUUGUAACUGACGCUGAGGCUCGAAAGCGUGGGGAGCAAACAGGAUUAGAUACCCUGGUAGUCCACGCCGUAAACGAUGAGUGCUAGGUGUUAGACCCUUUCCGGGGUUUAGUGCCGCAGCUAACGCAUUAAGCACUCCGCCUGGGGAGUACGACCGCAAGGUUG